rnacentral:rRNA from 1 species
AACGAACGCUGGCGGCAUGCCUAACACAUGCAAGUCGAACGAGACCUUCGGGUCUAGUGGCGCACGGGUGCGUAACGCGUGGGAACCUGCCCUUAGGUUCGGAAUACCUCCCCGAAAGGGUGGCUAAUACCGGAUAAUGUCUUCGGACCAAAGAUUUAUCGCCUUUGGAUGGGCCUGGGUUGGAUUAGCUAGUUGGUAGGGUAAAAGCCUACCAAGGCGACGAUCCAUAGCUGGUCUGAGAGGAUGAUCAGCCACACUGGGACUGAGACACGGCCCCGACUCCUACAUACACACUCAAUCGACAAUAUUUUACCAUCAUCGAAAGCCUGAUCCAGCAAUGCCGCGUGAGUGAUGAAGGCCUUAGGGUUGUAAAGCUCUUUUACCCAUGAUUAUAAUAACAUUCCCCUAAUAAUAAUCGCCGGCUAACUCCAUG